GAAACUCGCCUACAUGAAGCUGGAGUUACUAGUAAUCGCAGAUCAGAAUGCUGCGGUGAAUGCGUUCCCGGGUCUUGUACACACCGCCCGUCACACCACGGAAGUUGGGGGCGCCCGAAGCCACUUAGCUAACCCUUUUGGGAAGCGAGUGUCGAAGGUGAAAUCAAUAACUGGGGUGAAGUCGUAACAAGGUAGC
rnacentral:rRNA from 1 species